rnacentral:rRNA from 1 species
GAUGAACGCUGGCGGCGUGCCUAAUACAUGCAAGUCGAGCGAACAGACGAGGAGCUUGCUCCUCUGACGUUAGCGGCGGACGGGUGAGUAACACGUGGAUAACCUACCUAUAAGACUGGGAUAACUUCGGGAAACCGGAGCUAAUACCGGAUAGUAUAUUGAACCGCAUGGUUCAAUAGUGAAAGACGGUUUUGCUGUCACUUAUAGAUGGAUCCGCGCCGCAUUAGCUAGUUGGUAAGGUAACGGCUUACCAAGGCAACGAUGCGUAGCCGACCUGAGAGGGUGAUCGGCCACACUGGAACUGAGACACGGUCCAGACUCCUACGGGAGGCAGCAGUAGGGAAUCUUCCGCAAUGGGCGAAAGCUUGACGGAGCAACGCCGCGUGAGUGAUGAAGGUCUUCGGAUCGUAAAACUCUGUUAUUAGGGAAGAACAAAUGUGUAAGUAACUAUGCACGUCUUGACGGUACCUAAUCAGAAAGCCACGGCUAACUACGUG